rnacentral:lncRNA from 1 species
UGGAUUAAGCUCUCAGUCACAUCUGCCUGAACUGCAGCUAUUUCAAACUGAAGGGGAAAGUGUAUCACUGUAAUCAAGCUGAGAAGUCUAUCAACCAUGGCUCCUCAUUUUCACCUCAGCAAAGAAUCCCUUCUAGUGUCAAAACUCACAUUUCUGAAACUAUGGACUGAUUGUAUCUAUUCUCUAUUACUCACACCAGAGCAGAAAGCACACAUUAGGGCAAAAUGAAACUUUACAAAUAUAAUGAGAUUGUUUCAUAUAUUCACAUCUUUCAAUUCAGAGAAACCAUACUGAAGAAAAACCUUACAAAUGUAAUGGGUGUAGCAAAGCCUUUAGUUUGUGUUCAAGCCUUCUAGUCACCACAGAAUUCAUACUUAAGAGAAACCUUACAAAUGCAAUGAGUGUAGCAAACCCUUUAUCAAGAGUUCAACCCUUAGUUGACAUCAGAAAGACCAUUCUAAAGGGAAAUCAUAUAACUAUAACAUAUGUGGGAGAGGCUUUUUCCAGGCCUCAGAACUCACCAGGCAUCAAAAUAUACGUCUUUGAUGAAACCACAUAAAUGUAAUGUACAUGCUAAAGCUUUGACCCAGGGACCGAAACUAUGGAUCACGAGAGGAUUUAUACUGGAGAGGAACCUCACAAAUGUAAUGAACGUAUAAGAUUUUGGGUCAAACAUUCAUGAUUUUGGUGUCAUGAGAGGAUUUAUAUUGGAGAGAAAUAAGACAAAUACAGUAUAGGCAGAAAAAUCUUUAAUCAAAGGUAUCUUCUCAGGAUUUACAAAAAAAAUCACACUGGAAAGAACACUUACAAAUGUAAUGAUAUGAUAAAUGUUAAAAGCAAUUCU